GCUCACGUGGUGAAAUUGGUAGACACGCCAUCUUGAGGGGGUGGUGGGAGCAAUCCCGUGUUGGUUCGAAUCCAAUCGUGAGCA
rnacentral:tRNA from 5 species